rnacentral:misc_RNA from 1 species
GAUGAAGAACGUAGCGAAAUGCGAUAAGUAAUGUGAAUUGCAGAAUUCAGUGAAUCAUCGAAUCUUUGAACGCACAUUGCGCCCAUUAGCAUUCUAGUGGGCAUGCCUGUUCGAGCGUCAUUUCAACCCUUAAGCCCUGUUGCUUAGCGUUGGGAGCCUACAGUACUGUAGCUCCCCAAAGUUAGUGGCGGAGUCGGUUUUACACUCUAGACGUAGUAAUUUUUUCUCGUCUGUAGUUGAGCCGGUCCCCUGCCGUAAAACACCCAAUUUAUCAAGGUUGACCUCGGAUCAGGUAGGAAUACCCGCUGAACUUAAGCAUAUCAAUAAGCGGAGGA